GAUGGGUUAAUUUAAGAUAUGAGUUAGCCAGAAAUACGCUUAUAGCUAUUGGCCAAACAAUAUUGCAAAUAAGAUGGUUUCUGUGUGAUUAUUUCAGGGCUGAGCAGCUGGGAACAAACAGGUGGCCUUCGCACAACACUCCUCUCCUGCUGAACACACUUUUGCUCACAGGUUACAGCCAUGAUAGUAGACUUUUAAGUCCCGCAGAGCCCCCUGGCAGCCCUGCUCAAAGCUCUAAUCCAUUGGCUGUGUGGAGGCAUCUUGCCCUUUCCCCAGGACCCUGCAAUGUCCUGGGAAAAUGUCUCAGAGGGCACUGUUCCUCUGGGCUAUGGGAUUCCCAGUCUACCUUCAUCACCAGACAUUUGUCUCACGGCUUCAGGAAUUAGAGUGCCUUAGUUACCACAGUAUGCACUCGGGCGAUAAUGUAAAUGCCAUCUUUCCCUUAUAGUCAACUCAAUUAUUCAUACAUAACAACCCUCAUCAUUGCAUUAUUAAGCCUUUAGAUUAGGUUGGAAAUAUUUCUCGAGGAGUUAGGUAGUGUAGCUCAGUAGGAGAGUAUGUGGUUAGUCUGUGUAUGGUCCGGGGUUAAUCCCUAACACAAACCCUGUGUUAGCUAUUUUCCUAUUGCUAUUUUAAAAUACCCAAAUAAAAGUAAUUUAAGGGAGAAAGAAUAUAUGAAAAGCUAUAUGGAAACACACAACAUCAUAAGCUAAUAAAAAUAUUUUUAAAAAGGGAACUUGAAUGAUAGUACACAGCAUGAGUGGACGAUACUGUCCCCAAAAGACAACCUCAUCAGCAGACAUGGGACACGCCUUGCAAGCUGUAGAUCAAGGAGGCCCUAGAGACUUCCAAAUCAGCACACGCUAUGGUCAUUGCUCUUGGCUGCCCACCAGAACCAGAGGAAUGUUUCUUCCAUCAUCAUGGUAUCCCAGACGGUAUUGCUUCUGACCGAGGAACUCACUUCACAGCCAGAGAAGCGCCACAGUGAACCCUCGCUCGUGGAAUCUCCUGCUUACCAUAUUCCCCAGCAUCUGAAAGCAGCUGGCUUGAUACAACAGUGGAAUGACCUUUGGAAAACACAGACAAGAAGAGCGGCAGAUGAGAUGCCAGGACUUCGUACUCGGCAUCAGCUCCACUGUCUAGAAAGGAGAGGAGUGUGCUGCUUCCUAAUUUCUUCUGCAUCAUGGGGUGAUUAAAAGAUACUUCCUGAGUUGUCGCUGGCCAUUGUUGUCACAGCUUCUUAUCCUGAGAUCACAUUCUCUAGAGAUCUGGAGAUGUGUGAUAAUGUACAGAGAUAUUUAUGAACAACUGGCUAACUCUGCUGUUUAGUGUCUCUAGAUGCCAAGAGCCAGUCAGCUGUCAGAAGAAGCUACAUGUCAGCCUGCUGUUUUGAGGGAUCAGACUGUCCAGUCAUUGUUGACUUCCUUAUGCUUCCAUGAUACUUGUUAUUAUGACUGAUCUGGGUUACUGUUAAUUUGUGUGGUGUAGUGUUGUACAAAUAUAAGGCCUCUGGAAGGAACUGAUUCUUUCCAAAUUUUGGUAUAUAAUUUAUUAGGUUACUUCAAAAACUUUGUUCUUGAAAAUAAAAUCACCUCAGUUUGAUAUUCA